rnacentral:rRNA from 1 species
ACCACAACAGGUGGAGCCUGCGGUUAAUCGGACUCAACGCCGGGAAACUCACCAGAUAAGACAGCUGGAUGAUAGCCGGGCUGAAGACUCUGCUUGACUAGCUGAGAGGAGGUGCAUGGCCGUCGUCAGUUCGUACUGUGAAGCAUCCUGUUAAGUCAGGCAACGAGCGAGACCCACGCCAACAGUUGCCAGCAUGUCCUCCGGGAUGAUGGGGACACUGUUGGGACCGCCUCUGCUAAAGAGGAGGAAGGAAUGGGCAACGGUAGGUCAGCAUGCCCCGAAUUAUCCGGGCUACACGCGGGCUACAAUGGUCAGGACAAUGGGUAUCGACACCGAGAGGUGGAGGCAAUCUCCUAAACCUGUCCUUAGUUCGGAUUGUGGGCUGCAACUCGCCCACAUGAAGCUGGAAUCCGUAGUAAUCGCGUUUCAAAAUAGCGCGGUGAAUAUGUCCCUGCUCCUU